UAGAUGGUACAGGUCUUGUUUUAGUUGGACGA
rnacentral:piRNA from 1 species